UCAACGCCGGUGAGCUUCUGCGCCAGUGGGCAGGACGAGAACAGUCGGGCUUCGGGCCCGAGUUCUACGCCAGCUGCCCGGCCAGAACGCCACCCCCGUCUGCCGUGCCGCCUGCUGCUCGAGGCCGGCGUUCGAGCUUCCGUGCCCGUGGUGGAGACAGGAGCAGUCGGGCUACGGGCCCGAGCUCUCUGCCCGGCCAGAACGCCGCCGCCGUCCACUCCUGCCACCAAGCCGCCCACUUUUCCUCGCCUAGCCAGAGCGGGCGCACUCCGGUCGCCCGGUCGGUCAGCUUACACCGCGACCUAUGGUGAGACCGGCAGCACUCCUUUCGCCAGCUUGUCGCCGCGUCGCCGCUGUGACGCGUCCCCGCCCUCGUGGCAAGCCCGGACUCGCGCACUCGUUAACCACAUGCAAGCCCUAUGUGUGUUCGUUGCCGCAAUGUCUUCGCACAUACCUGCAGGCAAGGGAGACGACAUGAAAGAGUGAAGACAUACGCUAUGUGUCCUCUACAAACGCGCAAAUAGUAAGAGAGAAAGGCCGCCACUCAAAUGACCGUGAAAAUGAAACUCUACAAUGCCAAAACUCCAGUAAGAAGACCUGCUGAAGGAACUAACCCAGCAACCUGUUUCCAUACACAAGGAGCCCACAAGGAUUUUUGUGCUCUCAGUGCACGAAAAAGCCAAGUUGAAUUUUGAAGUGGACGGAGGGUGGAAUCUGUUUAGCAUCGUGGAGAGUCAUAUGCGUCAGACCUGAGAAAGCGCAUCGAGAACAUUGGAAGAAUUCAAGCCUGCUGAAGAAGUUAAGAGGAAGAGGAAGCUUAAGCUCGUGUGCUCCUAUAUAAAUACACGUGAAAGGAGAAUUCGUUUUCUCGGCUGACGCUGCACCAAAUUUGGCGAGGUUUGUUGCAUUUGAAAGAAAAACGCAAAUUCUAGUGACUGUGGGUUUUGAA